GGGUAGAAUUGCACUGCAGCUUUAUACAAAGGUAAGAAUAAUACUCUAAAUUUGGUCUCAUACCCAAUUAACUGUGAUAUGACAUAACAGUAUCGCUUUUGAUAACACAUUUUGUUUACAAUCCAUCCUAAAAUGUAAGUUAGCUUACUUAAUCUUUAGAAAAGUUAUCACUAUUAAGUUAAUUAAGUUCGGAAUAAUACUAAUUUAUCCUAAACAGUCUGACAGUGCUAAAAAGUCUAAAAUAGACAUGACUUGAGAGAAGUUCAAUUGAGAUUUUACAUCUUUUCAUAAAGCUAGCUUUUAAGUAUUAAUAUAUGUUAAAUGUAUAUAUUAUAUGUAAACUAACAACUGAUUCUUCUUAAUAGCAAUAACAGUAAUUUUGAUCCAGAUCUUUUGUUCAUACCAGUAUUUGAACACU
rnacentral:lncRNA from 1 species